GGAACUGUUCAGGGCAGAGGAUGGAAUAUAGCCCACAAGAGUCUGUCUCAAGCCUCAGGAGCUCCCAGAGAAUUCAGAGGAUGAAGAUGGGGUCCCAUUUAGCAUGGUCCUGCUGAUGGUUUAUGUUUUUGUGUGCGGGAAGGGCUGGCAUCCGAGGAACCAGCGAGCUGUCUCGGAAGUCCAGGUCCCCAGACUUCUGGGUCUGUUAAGCUCAUUUUCUUCCCUUUGAUCCCUGGCUCCAGGAGUGGAUGGAAGCUGCUUCCUGAAGUUACUAUCUCUAGAAAACAUUGCUGAUCAUUUGAAGAAACAAGUAUUAGACCAAACGUGGGAUGUUUGUUAUAUGUCCUGUUUCAUAGCGCAAUUGGCUUUAUCCUGUCUCAGUUUAUGGUCUGCUGUCUAGGUCUUUUUCUCCAUUGCUGCCCUGCAGAUAAAUUCAUCAGUACCGUUGUUCUAGAUUCCACAUAUAUGUAAUGAACUUUACGCCAAAAGGGGCUAAACAAAUGUUUGUGAGAAGACACUGGUGUCUAAGGAAAUGAUUCAGAGACCUCCAGGAGUAAGCAGUGAGCGUGCUCUGGGCUUUUUUGUGUUGCCCACCCUGUGCCUUUUUAUGCUAUUCUCUCUGUGCCAGAUGUUGGAAAGAAGUGCUGUUUGUGGGCCCAUAAGUGGUAAGGACUGCCCACAUGCUGGCUCUUCUUGACCCUGGUUUCUCCUUUGCCAUCUUCCCCAGUUCCCAGGAGGAAUGUAUUUCCCACAAGGGAAUAUGUGAU
ensembl:lncRNA